rnacentral:lncRNA from 1 species
CUGGGCUCAAGCGAUCCGCCUGCCUCCACCUCCCGAAGUGCUAAAAUUAGAGGCAUGAGCCAAUACGCUUGGCCAAGCAUCUUUUCAUGGGUUUAUUGGCCACUGUGUUAUCUUCUUUGGAGAAAUAUCUACUCAAAUCCUUUGCGCAUUUUUAAUUGGGUUGUCUUUUUCUUGCUUAGCUGUAAACACUAUAUAUUCUUGAUAUUAGACCCUUAUCAGCUAUAUGAUUUGCAACUAUUUUCUCCCAUUUUGUGGGCUGUGUUUUUUACUUUCUUGCUAGUGUCCCUUGAUAUACAAAAGUUUUAGGCUGGGCGUAGUGGCUCAUGCCUGUAAUCCUAGCACUUUAGGAGGCAAAGUCAGGUGGAUCACCUGAGGUCAAGAGUUCGAGACCAGCCUAGCCAACAUGGUGAAACCCCGUCUCUACUAAAAUUACAAAAAAUUAGCUGGGCGUGGUGGUGCGCGCCUGUAGUCCCAGCUGCUCAGAAGGCUGAGGCAUGAGAAUUGCUUGAGCCCGCAAGGCAGAGGUUGCAGUGAGCCUAGAUUGCACCACUGCACUCCAGCCUGGGUGACAGAGGAAGACUCUGUCUAAAAAAAAAGGUUUUAUUGCUGAUGAAGUCCAGUUUUUUUGGUUUUGUUUUUGCUUAUUUUGUUUUGUUUUGGUUUUGUUUGUUUUGGUUUGUUUUGGUUUUGUUUUUUUGUUUGUUUGUUUUUCCCUUUGGUCGCUCUGCUUUGGUGCCGUAUCUAGGAAGUCAAGGCCAUGAAGACUUACAUACUAUGUUUUCUUCUAAGGGUUUUAUAGUUUUAGUUCUUACAUUUAGGUCUUUGGUCCAUUUUUACUUACUUCUCUGAACUAGUUUCAUCAUCAAAAAAAGUUGAGGCAAGUACAGUUUAUAAGUUGUUAUAGUGAUUAAAUGCAAAAAUGUCAUGACGGCCGGGUGCAGUGGCUCACGCCUGUAAUCCCAGCACUUUGGGAGGCCAAGGCCAAGGCAGGUGGAUCACGAGGUCAGGAGAUCGAGACCAUCCUGGCUAACACGGUGAAACCCUGUCUCUACUAAAAAUACAAAAAUUAGCCAGGCGUGGUGGCAGGUACCUGUAGUCCCAGCUACUCCAGAGGCUGAGGCAGGAGAAUGGCGUGAACCUGGGAGGUGGAGCUUGCAGUGAGCUGAGAUCACGCCACUGCACUCCAGCCUGGGCGACAGAGUGAGACUCCGUCUCACCGUCUCAAAAAA